AUUGAACGCUGGCGGCAGGCCUAACACAUGCAAGUCGAACGAGUGGCGGACGGGUGAGUAAUGUCUGGGAAACUGCCUGAUGGAGGGGGAUAACUACUGGAAACGGUAGCUAAUACCGCAUACCAUCGGAUGUGCCCAGAUGGGAUUAGCUAGUUGGUGGGGUAACGGCUCACCAAGGCGACGAUCCCUAGCUGGUCUGAGAGGAUGACCAGCCACACUGGAACUGAGACACGGUCCAGACUCCUACGGGAGGCAGCAGUGGGGAAUAUUGCGCAAUGGGCGAAAGCCUGAUGGAGCAACGCCGCGUGUAUGAAGAAGGCCUUCGGGUUGUAAAGCACUUUCAGCGGGGAGGCGUUACCCACAGAGAAAGCACCGGCUAACUCCGUGCCAGCAGCCGCGGUAAUAC
rnacentral:rRNA from 1 species